rnacentral:rRNA from 1 species
UGGGGAAUAUUGGACAAUGGGGGCAACCCUGAUCCAGCAAUGCCGCGUGUGUGAAGAAGGUCUUCGGAUUGUAAAGCACUUUCGACGGGGACGAUGAUGACGGUACCCGUAGAAGAAGCCCCGGCUAACUUCGUGCCAGCAGCCGCGGUAAUACGAAGGGGGCUAGCGUUGCUCGGAAUGACUGGGCGUAAAGGGCGUGUAGGCGGUUUACACAGUCAGAUGUGAAAUCCCCGGGCUUAACCUGGGAGCUGCAUUUGAUACGUGUAGACUAGAGUGUGAGAGAGGGUUGUGGAAUUCCCAGUGUAGAGGUGAAAUUCGUAGAUAUUGGGAAGAACACCGGUGGCGA